AUAAGCAAGAAGAGGAUGCAUGUAAAAGGGCAUUAGUUUUGAUAGUAUUGUAAAAUUUAGAAGUUUUCUUAUAAAUAGCAAUGCUAUCAAAACUAAUGCCUUUUACAUGCAUCCUCUUCUUGCUUAUGAUACACUACUGUGGUAACAGCAAGCCAAAAGCUAUCUUUCCUCAUUUCUUAUUUUCAAUGUCUUAGUGGAGUUAAGAGAAAAAUCCUGGCAUGUCAAAUGGAAAGUUUGGAUCCAAUUCCAGUGACUGAAGAGAGAAGUCGGGCUCCACAAUUGGAGAAUUGGCAGCAGAGGUAGUGGCGGAAAUGAUAUCAGUGAAAUCAGAUUCGUAACGGUGCUGCAAAUUUUGAACUCCUACAAAAUUGUUCAUCUGGAAUGGUGAGACAUAGUAGUUUGGUUCAGGGGUGGUUGGAGAUAUGAAAGAUGGAGAAUAAGUGCCUGAACUUUCCAUACUUCCAUAUCUAGGUGGAAAAGAGAAAGGAAAUGCAAUCUCUGUGUUGUCUAUGUCCUCAGUAUUAACCCUCAGGCCCUUUUGAAAGUUAAAGAGGGCUUCUUGUGAUUGUAGUUGUUGAUUAAUGUUUUGUUUAUGUACUUGUUUUUCUGGUGAUGCUGGCUGUUGAACAGAUUUUUGGCCAUGAGAACAAGUGUGUAGUCCUCUGUAUGUGACAUCAAAUAUGGUGGGAUCUUCAUCUGAUCUUUGCACUUGCUUUGUAGC
rnacentral:misc_RNA from 1 species